AGUUUUAUCCAUGAUUGUGGUUCUUAUGCUAGUAUUUAUCUAGCAAAUGGUAGAUGUGGUUUGAUAAUCUGGAAUUUACUUAGCCAAUGAGAAUUAUGGCUUGAUGUUUGAAAUAUUAAUUUACAAACGUGUGUGGCUAGAAAUUUUGAUUUUUUUUUUCACCAAUUAAUGUGGUUGGAAAUCUGAGUGUAUGAGUGAAAAUUUUGAUAAUUGAUAAGUUGAAUUACUUAUUUUGAGUAUGAAUAAAAUCGUAGACUGAGGGUAUAAUUUUAUUCACUAUAAAUGGAACGGCGGGAUUAGUUCUAAAUCCCUUUUCGUCAUUUGAUGGUUGGAAAUCUCGAGAACGAGAUUUAUUUUAAUAGGGGUCAUUGUUUUACCAAUGAUGAUUAUGGCUAUAUGAUUAAUAUGGUUAGUUUGGUUCACGUGAGGAUAUGAAUGAAAUCAUAGAAUGAGAUCUUAAUUUCGUUCAAUAUUAACGGUACUACGGAUUGGUUUUAAAUACCUUAUCCUUAUCAUGUGAUUGAAAUCUCGGGGACGAGAUUUAUUUUAAUGGGGUUGAAUGUAAUACCCUAAAAAUUCAAAAUAUAUGAUUAUAUGGAGUAAAUCGAGAAUAAAUAGAUUUAUGGUUAUAAAAAUUUGAUUAGAGAAAUUUUAGAAUUUUGUUUCCGGAAUUUAUUAUAAUUUACAUCGAAAAAUUUAUCGAUAAGUGGAAAAGAUGAAAAUGCCCUAGUUGACUAAACGUAAUUUUACGAGGAUAUAUUUAUCCUCAUGUAUUUUAUCAUAUUUCUUGACGUAUUUGGAUAGAGCUCGAUCCUACGAAAGCGUAGGUGAAAACCAUUUGUGAAUCAGGAUUGAAAUGAAGAAAUUAGAGGUUUUAGAAAAAAUGAAAAAAUAAAAAAGAGGAAGAGGAGUUUGGAAGCUGCCAGAUGGCAGCGUGAGAGAAGAGGAAAAUGAGAGAUGAGGGAGAGAAGAAGGGAAAAAGGGGGACCAAUCUGGAAAAAAGGGGACCAAUAGGAAGAAAAGGAAAGGAGGGAAGGCCGGUUUCUCAUCCGUCCGAUGUCUGUUGGAGGUGAUUCCAGUGUCUAUAGGAAGCUCUCAACGAGCCCAACAUCCUUGAGGUGUUGGAUUUCUCAAUUUCUUACCCAAUUUUACAAAUCGAAGCCACAAACCCACGGUUGUCCACACGGUUUUCUUCCUUUUUUGGUGAUUUGGACAACAAUUAUCGUCGAUCCCCACCACCAAUAGACUUCCCUCAACCCCAGGAGUAAGGCCUAAUCAUUGGAUCAGACAUCAGCGUUCGUUUUGGAGUCGAAUCAAGAACACCCAAUUCAAGGGUUUCUGACGGUUCAAGGGCAAAUUGAGGUAUUUCUUGAUUGAAUUGGACUUUGGCCCAUGUAUGAAAGUUAUUCAUCUUUUUGAACUCUAUUUGCCUGUAAAAUUUGGUAAUUUUUUGAGUUCGUCAGAAAACUAGGUUUCCGUUUGCCGGAAACCGCCAACUAACGCGGUGCAUGGCAAGUGGGCUGACGUUGCUUUUUCAUGCAAAUUUUGAUAUUUUAAAUUCAUAAUUGGUACCCAUUUGAUGUGAUUCGAUUAUGAAAGCUAAUGUUGAAUAUUUCUGUUACUAGAAUAUUUCGGAAAUAGAUAAAAGAAUGAAUGUGAACUAUGAAAGGUUGAUCCCGUUCAAGGGUACGUAGGCAGUCUAACGGGAGUUAGAUGCAGCCUUAAAAAUAGCCGAGAUUAAUCUUUUGUUGAAAAUUUGUCUAAGAAAAGGAAUUGGGUGAUCAAUUUAAAAAUUAACCUUAUGUUUUUGGUAAACAAUUUGGGUUAUAGAUUUUGUGAGUAACUAAGAAUUAAAUAAAAGAAUUAUGAUAAAUGGUAGAAAAUAAACAAGAGUUUAAUUUGGGCCUAUCAUAGUAAUUAUCUUUCGAAAUAAAUUUUUCGGGUUGGGGCGAUAGAAAACGAGUUUCCUAUAUUCUUGGAGAUUCCUACAAUCUAGUGCGCCGUCAAUAAUCACACUCCUAAGAGGAAACAAUAUCUAAUCCUAGACAUCCCCUUGGUUUCUCCCGGUUUAAUACAGUUUCCAUAUCCUCUGCCGAUUAUUAAAAUAAUUUCAUCUAGAGCAUAACUUUGGUACUGCAUAUAACACAGAGAGAUGAUCCUCACCGGAUCCUCUUUGUGAGGAUCCCAGGGAUCCUCAAAUCACAUCCGUUCAUUAUACAUUAUGCAGUUAGAAAUCAUUGUAAUUUUUUUUAUUUAAAAUUGAAUAUAAACAAUAUCUAAUGAAAACUAGCCGCACAAUGCACGAUGAAUGGAUUAGGAUCCUGCAAAGAUCCUCUCUCUAUAACGCAAUCUAUGCAUACCCCUUGUUAUUCUCUUCUACUGCUUGAGUUGUAAUAUUACUUUACUAACUUGACCAUUGGAGAGCUUUUUGUCUGUACCCCAUGGGAACCCAAGGUUGACUAUGAAUGUUUGUUUUCUUACAGGUAGUCGGACUUGCGUAGCUCUUCCGUUUGUAGCAAUGCGCGAAUUUAGUUCCAACAUUUAAUCAUGUUAAACUUAAACAAAAAUGCUAUAAUUAAAUGUGGUGAACAAAAAUGCUACCUUACUUUUGUCAUACUGGUCGAUUUUGUUUGUGUUAUGCCUAUGUUAUAUUGUGUCUAUGUUGGUCAUGUCAUGCUCAUGCUAGUCUGAUGAGUGAUAUUCAAUUACAAAACUAAUUUAUA
rnacentral:lncRNA from 1 species